GACGAACGCUGGCGGCGUGCUUAGCACAUGCAAGUCGAGCGGUAAGGCCUCUUCGGGGGUACACGAGCGGCGAACGGGUGAGUAACACGUGGGUGACCUGCCCUCAGCUCUGGGAUAAGCCUGGGAAACUGGGUCUAAUACCGGAUAUGACCUUUCCUCGCAUGGGGUUUGGUGGAAAGUUUUUUCGGCUGGGGAUGGGCCCGCGGCCUAUCAGCUUGUUGGUGGGGUGAUGGCCUACCAAGGCGACGACGGGUAGCCGGCCUGAGAGGGCGACCGGCCACACUGGGACUGAGACACGGCCCAGACUCCUACGGGAGGGAGCAGUGGGGAAGAUUGCGCAAUGGGCGGAAGCCUGACGCAGCGACGCCGCGUGGGGGAUGACGGCCUUCGGGUUGGAAACCUCUUUCGACCCCGACGAAUUUGGACGGUAGGGGUAGAAGAAGCACCGGCCAACUACGUG
rnacentral:rRNA from 1 species